rnacentral:rRNA from 1 species
UACAGAGGUCUCAAGCGUUGUUCGGAUUCAUUGGGCGUAAAGGGCGCGUAGGCGGCGGGGUAAGUCGGGUGUGAAAUCUCAGAGCUCAACUCUGAAAUGGCACUUGAUACUGCUCUGCUAGAGGACUGGAGAGGAGAUUGGAAUUUACGGUGUAGCGGUGAAAUGCGUAGAUAUCGUAAGGAAGACCAGUGGCGAAGGCGGGUCUCUGGACAGUUCCUGACGCUGAGGCACGAAGGUCAGGGGAGCAAACGGG